GUGCACUCGACUGUUGUGGCCUUUCGUCUGCCUCCUUCACUUGAAUGGGAGCCUCCUGGGGCAGGGGCUGCUCCUUUUGCUGCUGUUGCAUCUCCAGGCCUGCAGCCAGGCCUGCCCCGCAGUGGGUGUCAACACGCUCUGUGGAACGAGGGACGGAAUGAGGGACGUGAGUGAUCUGUGUGGAUGGAGGAGUGACUUGCAAUGGAAGCCUGCCAGCCAAGACAGCUGGGCCCCUGGACAAAGUCUUGCUCAAUUCCUCAGGUUGCAGUAGAAUGGCAUGAACAGGACUCACUGCAGCCUCGACAUCCUGGGCUCAAGUGAUCCUCCUGCCUCAGCUUCCUGUGUAGCUGGUACCCCAGGCCGUGAGAUACUUCAGACAGACACAAUUUCUCCCAGCGACAGGGGAGGAAGCCGAGGCCUUGAGAAGGUGAGUGACUUACUCAAGGCCAUCCGGCUCAUUAGAGAAGGAGGCAGAACUCACACCCGUGUUUUAUGACUUCCAGUUCAGGCCCAUCACAGACCUCCAUCCAUCUGCAGGAAAGCAAGCGGCCCUCAGGGACUUGCUCAUGGAGAAUGCUCCAUAUAUGCCGAGGGGAUGGGCUCCGAGGAAGCCAGAUUGUCCCAGGGCAAUGCUGGCCUGGCCACUCUGGAUGGCCGUACUGGGGCCCAGCUGGCGGGGGCACUGGAGGCCCGUGUUACCCUGCACUCUGUUUGUGGGGUGGUAUGCCCAGCAUUCCUGGCAAAGGUUGCGAUGCCUCAGCAGGGUUGGGUGAGCAGCUGUCUGGGGCGGCGAGGGGAAGCGGACAGGCACGCCGUCUGUUUUGCUGGGCCGUGCGUGGCUUUUCCGGGCAUUGUGCUCACCAGCGUGCCCCGGUCAUGAACACUGAGACCAGGAUGUCUUUGUAGCGAUCACAGCAACACCCUGUACUUCCCCAACAUUCCAAGGAGGCCCCAGGCAUGGCACUUACAGGAGGUAUCCCAGACGCCGCCUUCCUCCUCCUCCUCCUCAACUCCAUCCUCCCCAGGAGGAGGCAGCCAUCUUCAUGGCGUGAUGUGUGGGACCUGGAGGGCAUCCGGCCAACAGAGCUCUCCCGUAAGGCAGUCCUCCUCCCACAGGUUCUUAUCUCUGAGCCAUGUGUUCUUAACCCCUAUAUUCUGACUUGGACACUGCACUAAGAGUUUUAAUUACGUUCUUGAUAGUUCUGUGACAUAAAUGCUAUUGUUAUCACCUGCCCCCCCUCCCCCCCCCCCCAUUAAUAUAAAGGAGACGGAAGCUUUGAGGGGUCUAUAUCAGCAGUAAGUGGCAGAGUCAGGACUCAAACCUCACGGGCCAGAGGCUGGCAUCUGUGCUUCUUUUUUUUUUUUUUUGAUAUGGAGUCUUGCUCUGUCACCCAGACUGGAGUGCAGUGGCGUGAUCUCGGCUCACUGCAAGCUCCGCCUCCCGGGUUCACGCCAUUCUCCUGCCUCAGCCUUCCGAGUAGCUGGGACUACAGGCGCCCGCCACCACGCCCGGCUAAUUUUUUGUAUUUUUAGUAGAGACGGGGUUUGCACCGUGUUAGCCAGGAUGGUCUCGAUCUCCUGACCUCGUGAUCCGCCCGCCUUGGCCUCCCAAAGUGCUGGGAUUACAGGUGUGAGCCACCACGCCUGGCCGUGUCUGUGCUUUUGACUUCGCUGCUGCACUGCCCUGUUAUGUAAACCUGGUGGGUUGUGCUUUGGAGAUGGGUAGGGAUGGAACACAGCCAUUCAUUCAAGAGUAUUUUCUAAAAUAAUAACUUUCUUACUUUAGAACAAUUUUAGAGUUAUAGAAUUAUAGUGCAGGGAAUUCCUGUAUACCCUGUGCCCAGUGUCCCUAUUAUUAUUAAUUUUUUAAAUGUUUUCCUUUUUUUUUGGAGAUGGUCUCGCUCUGUCACCCAGGCUAGAGUGCAAUGGCUUGAUCUCUGCUAACUGCAACUUCCUUCUCUUGGGUUCAAGCGAUUCUCCCACCUCAGCCUCCCAAGUAGCUGGGAUUACAGGCACCUGCCAUCAUGCCCAGCUAAUUUUCGUAUUUUUAGUAGAGACGGGGUUUCACCAUGUUGGCCAGGCUGGUCUUGAACUCCUGACCUCAGGUGAUCUGCCUGCCUCGGCCUCCCAAAGUGCUGGGAUUACAGGCGUGAGCCACUGCGCCCAGCUCUAUUUUUCUAUUUCUUUUUCAUCCCUUUUCACCAUUCCUAAUGUCCCCUGUCAUUAACAUCUUACAUUAGUGUGGUACAUAUGUCACUGUUAAUGAACUAAUAUUAUUAACUAAAGUGCACACUUUAUUCAGCUUUCUUUUUUUUUUAACCUAUUGCCCCCAUUCUGUCCCAGGAUCCCACCAGGAUUCUAUAUUACAUUUAGUCAUCAUGUCUCUGUAGGCUCCUCUUGGCUGUGACAGUUUCACAGACUUCCCUUGUUUUUGGUGAUCUGGACUAUUUUGAGAGGUGCUGGUCAGGAUUUUGCAGAAUGUCCUUUAACUGGGAUGUGUCUCAUGUUUUCCUCUUGAGUAGACUGGCGUUUGGGUUUUGGAGAGGGAGACCACAGAGGUAAGUGUCAUUCUCAUCCCAUGAUAUCAAGGGCACUAUCAACGUGACUUAUGGCUGUUGGUGUUCACCUUGGUCACCUGUUUCUUUAGUGUAAAGCUAUUCUUUUCUUUGCUCCCUUUCCAUGAUGUUCUGAAGAAUCAUUUUUUGAGCACCAAAAGAAGAAACUGGUGGCGGGGCGCAGUGGCUCACACCUGUAAUCCCAGCACUUUGGGAGGCCGAGGCGGGCGGAUCACCUGAGAUCAGGCAUUCGAGACCAACCUGGCCAACAUGGUGAAACCCCAUCUCUACUAAAAAUACAAAAAUUAGCCGGGCAUGGUGGUGCAUGCCUGAAAUCCCAGCUACUCAGGAGGUUGAGGAGGGAGAAUUGCUUGAACCUGGGGGGCGGAGGUUGCAGUCAGCCGAGAUUGCACCACUGCCCUCCAGCCUGGGUGACAGUGAGACUCCAUCUCAAAAAAAAAAAAAAAAAAAAAAAGAAGAAGAAGAAGAAGAAACUGGCAACUCUGGCAACUCUCCUAAGAGGGAGGAAGAGAGGAGAAAGGACAGGGCAGGGCGGUGACAAGUGUCCUGGAACGGAAAAAGAAAAAAGAAGAAAAAAAUUGCACCUGUGUAGGAGGAGAUGCUGGUGGCCCUUGGAGUGCCCAUGUGAGAGAAGAGCCAGUUCCAGGAUUCCAGUGAGAGCAGCCAGCUCAGCGUGGCUCAGCAGCGGGGGACAGCCGUCUAGGAAUCCCUGCGGAGCACCCCAGAGAAGGAGCUUCACCUCGGGACCUGGGUCUCAUUUUCAGGGACUUCAUCUCCCUGAAAAGCAAUGCUGCAUCAGACACAGAGACGCCCCGACAGAACGGAAAACAAUAUGCACUGUUCAACAUGAAACUCCCAUUCAUCUCACUGCUGCAUGACUUUGCCUAAGAGUUCAGGAUAAAGUAAUGUUUGCAAAUACAUCCUGAAAUUGCUUUUGUGGGUUAGCAUCAUUAGAUUGCAUUAUGCUUUGGGAUUAAAAGCGUUAACUUUGCCAUGUAGCUAUUUCAAAUAGAUCACAAGCUCUUUUUUUUUUUUUUUUGAUGAUCACCACUAUACUAACGAGGAUCAAAUAGACCACAAGUUCUGCAACCCUGUUUAGAUGUUUCUUCAUUUCAUAAAGUAUAGGUACCAAGAAUCUCAGUACCUCCUCCUCUCCCCCCAGACUUUCUCUUGUUAUUCUGGGAUCAAAGGGGCCUCAUGUCCCCUCUGAGGGACCUUACCCCUAUCAAGCAGGCUGGCAAGCGGGAGAACGGAGGCCUGAGAAGCUGCAACACAGCUACACUGAACUCCCCAGCCAAGCCAUGUGCUUGCAUCUGCCCGUCUACUCCAGAGUGUGAGCCAAACAUCUGAGACUGUGAGAAUUCGGAGAGCUGACCCCAGACGUUGGUUCCAGUGUUGGGAGGAACCUGGGAAAAUCAAGGGAUGCUUUGGUCCUGUCAUUGUGACUGACAAGCAAUUAGAGGUGAAUAUCUGUGAAUAUUUGGGGGUUUAGAAUGUACCUGUUGAAAUGAAAUGCCCCUGGGAUAUGAAAUAACUUUAGCUGUUGGCAUCUAAGACAACAGAGGCAGCUGGACGUGGUGACUCACGCCUGUAAUCCCAGCACUUUGGGAGGCCGAGGCGGGUGGAUCACCUGAGAUCACGAGUUUGAGACCAGCCUGACCAACAUGGUGAAACCCCAUCUCUACUAAAUACAAAAAAUUAGCCGGGCGUAGUGGCGCAUGCCUGUAAUUCCAGCUACUUGGGAGGCUGAGGCAGGAGAAUUGCUUGAAUCCGGGAGGCGGAGGUUACAGUGAGCCAAGAUUGCACCAUUGCACUCCAGCCUGGGCAACAAGAGUGAAACUCCAUCUCCCCCCCCACCCCGCAAAAAAAGACAACAGAGGCGUUCAAUCAGUCGGCCGCGGUGAGCAAUGUCCCGUGAGAAUGGGGCCCAAGACAGAAGUCUAGGAAAGGGUGUAUGUGGGCGAGGUAGACACAGAUAGGGGCUGUGGACGGAAGGACUCUAGGACCUGCUUGCAGUCUGUCAUGAGUCUUUGGACUAUUUAUAGCUGGUGACCUCAGAUGAGUCACCCCCAUGAUUCAGUUUCCCCAUUUCUCUGAGAUAUGGAGACAGCAGCUGGUCAGGAAGGGACCCUUUCCCUCCUCUCCGCCUCUCCACCGCCACCACUGCCGUCACCGGCACCCAUGUUCUGCCCACACAGUAGCCCAGGAUGCCAAGGGCUAAAGGCUUGACAUAGACGACACCUAAUGUAAUCUCACAGCCCUGGGACACAGCUCUUGUUAUUGCCUCCACUUUGCAGAAGGGAAAAGUGAGCCUUAUAGAGGCUGAAUAACAUGCCUGAUGUCUACACUGGGGAUGGGUGGAUGUGGGCUGGUGUUCGGGCCACCCUGACUCACACUUGGUUGGCCAGGGCUUCCACUGCUAAAUCCAUCUGGGUCAGGGGCUGGCAACAUUUUCUUCAUCAGGUAAAUAUUCUAGGCUUUGUGGGGCAUAUGAUCUCUCUUCCUCUCACCCCAGAUUUUCUCCUGUUACUCAACACUUUAAAAAUGUAAAAACCAUUCUUAGCUAGUGAGCUGCACAUAGGAGUCUGCUGGCUGGAUUUGGCCUGAAGGCCAGAGUUUAGUCACCUCUGAUAACAGGAAAGCAAAAAAUGCAAAUUGCUGUGGGCUGUCAUAUCUCCCCAGAUUUCAGAGGCGUUCUAAAACUCACUCAAAGAAUCCUGGGCCCUGGAGGGUGGCAGGGCUACCUGUGCGGCCCAGGUGGAUGUUAGUUUUACUGAGGACCUACUGGGGUGUGGGCACCACGGUGUCUCUCCCAUGGCCACUAUUCCUACGGGCAGUUACUGCCCCUCACACUUGUCCCUCUGUGUCCUACCCUCUGUGGGGGCUCACUGGGGGCCCAGCUUCUCCACCCUGUCACCAUCCUGGCCUCACUUUCCUUUCUCCUGGGACUUCGGUUCUUGGUCAAGUGAGGCUGGACAGGCCCAGCUGUGGCCCCUGGCUGAGCUGCAGAGGAAGCUGAGAGGACCUGCUAUCAGCUCCUUUUGGCCAGGCUGCCUCAGUGGCCAGCGUGGGGUGGGAGAUGCUGAGGCAGAAAUGGGGGAGAAGAGGUGGGAGCUCUGCAGCCGGAGGGAGGAGUUCCGUGGCCUGGGCAGGAAGCUGGGAAACCUCUGUUUCUUUCUUUCUUUGUUUUGUUUUUUUUUUUGAGACGGAGUCUCGCUCUAUUGCCCAGGCUGGAGUGCAGUGGCACGAUCUCAGCUCACUUCAAGCUCCGCCUCCCGAGUUCAUGCCAUUCUCCUGCCUCAGCCUCCCAAGUAGCUGGGACUACAGGCACCCGCCACCACGCCUGGCCAAUUUUUUGUAUUUUUUAGUAGAGACAGGGUUUCACUGUGUUAGCUGGGAUGGUCUUGAUUUCCUGACCUCGUGAUCCACCUGCCUCGGCCUCCCAAAGUGCUGGGAUUACAGGCGUGAGCCACCACGCUCGGCCACCUCUCUGUUUCUAAGGCUCCUCAGAGUUAAGGAGGUUUGUGAAAGGAGUAAACACAGGAAUUCUGCUUGUGUGUGGGGCCUGCCUGUGCGUGUGUAUCACAUACAACCCAUGCCUGUGUUCCUGUGGAGAGGGAGCAUGGAAGGGGCCCGUGUUCUAGGCAAUGCACAAAAUAGUUAAACCAGGUCUGAAACUGGGAUCAAGUCCCAACACCACCACUGACCAACCAUGGGAACCAGGUCCAGGUCUUUAACCUCUUGGACACUCACUUUCCUCAUCUGUAAAAUGGAAAUAGCAAUAUCUCAGCAGAUUGCUGUAAAGCUUACAAAGUAACACGAUUUAUCGAAUGCUUCCUACUGGGCAGGCACUAUUCUAGGGGCUUUCUAUAUUCAGUUGAUCCUCAUCACUCAUACAUUCUGUAUUUAAAGAUUUGUCUACUCUGGCCGGGUGUGGUGGCUCAUGCCUGUAAUCCCAGAACUUUGGGAGGCCGAGGUGGGUGGAUCACGAGGUCAGGAGAUCAAGACUACCCUGGCUAACAUGGUGAAACCCCGUCUCUACUAAAAAUACAAAAAAAAUUAGCCGGGCGUGUUGGCGGGCGCCUGUAGUCCCAGCUACUCGGGAGGCUGAGGCAGGAGAAUGGUGUGAACAUGGGAGGUGGAGCUUGCAGUGAGCCGAGAUAGCACCGCUGCACUCCAGCCUGGGCAACUGAGCAAGACUCCAUCUCAAAAAAAUAAAAAUAAAAAAAUAAAAAUUUGUCUACUCCAUACAAUUUACUUGUAUUGCCAAAAUCAAUACUCACAGUGCUUGCAUGGCCAUCCAUGAACACAGAGCAGAGAAAAAUUUGGCAGGAUGUGCACAUUCCCAGCAGAGGGUGAACAAGGUGACAGUCUGCCUUCUUGUUUCAGCUCAUACCACAAGCAAGUGUCCUUUUCAAGGUCUACUUGGUACCAUGUGUUUUGCAUUUUUCUGCUGCGUGUUGGUGAUUCCACUGUUUAAAAUGGUCCCAGCAUCAUGCUGAAGUGCUGUCCAGAGUUCCUAAGUGAGAGAAAGCUGUGAUGUGUCAUGUGGAGAAAAUAUGUCUAGUAGUUAAGCUUCGUGCAGGCAUGAGUUAUAGUGCUGUUGGCUAUGAGUUCAAUGUGAAUUAUUCAGCAAUAUAUAUUGAAUAAGGUGUCGUUAGACAGAAACACACAUAAGAAAAAGUUAUGCAUUGAUUUGUUGAUGAAAAUGUGACCAGAGGCUCACAGGAACCUCCCCUUGUAUCUCCCCUAGGAGCACUGGUUUGGCAUUCACUAAUUCAGUGUUUGCAGUGACUCCAUAAAACACAGCCACUAUGAAUAAUGAGAAUUGACUGUAUUGGCCAGGCACAGUAGCUCACACCUGUAAUCCCAGCACUUUGGGAGGCCAAGGUAAGCAGAUCACUUGAGGUCAGGAGUUUCAGACCAGCCUGGCCAACAUGGUGAAACCCUGUCUCUACUAAAAAUACAAAAAAUU
rnacentral:lncRNA from 1 species